rnacentral:rRNA from 1 species
UACGGGGGGGGCAAGCGUUGUUCGGAAUUACUGGGCGUAAAGGGCUCGUAGGCGGCCAACUAAGUCAGACGUGAAAUCCCUCGGCUUAACCGGGGAACUGCGUCUGAUACUGGAUGGCUGGAGUGUGGGAGAGGGAUGCGGAAUUCCAGGUGUAGCGGUGAAAUGCGUAGAUAUCUGGAGGAACACCGAUGGCGAAGGCGGCAUCCUGGACCAUUACUGACACUGAAAAGCGAAAGCCAGGGGAGCAAACGGG